GACGAACGCUGGCGGCGUGCCUAAUACAUGCAAGUCGAACGCAGUGGGGACGGGUGAGUAACACGUGGGUAACCUCCCAUCAGAGGGGAGAACACUUGGCAACAGGUGCUAAACCGCUACUGAUGGAUGGACCCGCGGUGCAUUCGCUAGUUGGUGAGGUAACGGCUCACCAAGGCGAAGAUGCAUAGCUGACCUGAGAGGGUGACCGGCCACACUGGGACUGAGACACGGCCCAGACUCCUACGGGAGGCAGCAGUAGGGAAUAUUCGGCAAUGGACGAAAGUCUGACCGAGCAACGCCGCGUGAGUGAAGAAGGUUUUCGGAUUGUAAAACUCUGUUGUUAGAGAAGCGGUAUCUAACCAGAAAGCAACGGCUAACUACGUGCCAGCAGCCGCGGUAAUUC
rnacentral:rRNA from 1 species